AUUGAACGCUGGCGGCAGGCCUAACACAUGCAAGUCGAACGAGUGGCGGACGGGUGAGUAAUGUCUGGGAAACAGCCCGAUGGAGGGGGAUAACUACUGGAAACGGUAGCUAAUACCGCAUACCAUCGGAGGUGCCCAGAUGGGAUUGGCUAGUAGGUGGGGUAACGGCUCACCUAGGCGACGAGCCCUAGCUGGUUUGAGAGGAUGACCAGCCACCCGGGAUCUGAGACACGGGCCAGACUCCUACGGAUGGCAGCAGUGGGGAAUAUUGCACAAUGGGCGCAAGCCUGAUGCAGCCAUGCCGCGUAUAUGAAGAAGGCCUUCGGGUUGUAAAGUCCUUUCAGCGGGAAGGCGUUACCCGCAGAAGAAGCGACGGCUAACUCCGUGCCAGCAGCCGCGGUAAUUC
rnacentral:rRNA from 1 species